rnacentral:piRNA from 1 species
GUCAGCAGAACUCGAGAGCAAGACUGUGAA